rnacentral:rRNA from 10 species
ACUUUCAACAACGGAUCUCUUGGUUCUGGCAUCGAUGAAGAACGCAGCGAAAUGCGAUAAGUAGUGUGAAUUGCAGAAUUCAGUGAAUCAUCGAAUUUUUGAACGCAUAUUGCGCCCCUUGGUAUUCCAUGGGGCAUGCCUGUUCGAGCGUCA